rnacentral:tRNA from 1 species
UGCGGGGUGGAGCAGUGGUAGCUCGUCGGGCUCAUAACCCGAAGGUCAUAGGUUCGAAUCCUAUCCCCGCUA